GGCACGAUGGCCGAGUGGUUAAGGCGUUCGGCUGCUAUUAAGCAAAUCAACCGGAUGGGUUCGCCCGCGCGUGUUCGAAUCACGUUCGUGUCG